CCUUAUGAAAUUUUCGAGUGGAAAAUUCUUUAGAAAUUUUUUUCUGAUUUUUUAUUCUUUUUUUAAAUUAAAGCAUUAUUUGAGUGAAAAGAAACUUAUUGCAACAAAUUCGCAAUAAAAUAUAUCACAUUUAAAAAUUUUGCUGAAUUGCAGAAAAAUGAGGAAAAUUUUACAUUUUCUCAAACAGGGUAAGCAACUAGGUUCCUCGAAUAACUUCUGGCACAGAGAUCUGAGGGCAUGGCCGUCCAAGAAGAAAAUGUAGCCAUUGGUGCCAUCUAUAGACCACAGGUUAAAGAUUGGCGAUCCGUUGGAUACCGACCGAGUUAUAGGCAAAACUUGGUGCAAAAAUGAGGAAAAUUUUACAUUUUCUCAAACAGGGUAAGGAACUUGGUUCCUCGAAUAACUUCUGGCACAGAGAUCUGAGGGCAUGGCCGUCCAAGAAGAAAAUGUAGCCAUUGGUGCCAUAUAUCGACCACAGGUUAAAGAUUGACGAUCCAUUGGACACCGACCGAGUUAUAGGCAAAACUUGGUGCAAAAAUGAGGAAAAUUUUACAUUUUCUCAAACAGGGUAUGGAACUUGGUUCCUCGAAUAACUUCUGGCACAGAGAUCUGAAGGCAUGGCCGUCCAAGAAGAAAAUGUAGCCAUUGGUGCCAUCUAUCGACCACAGGUUAAAGAUUGGCGAUCCGUUGGAUACCGACCGAGUUAUAGGCAAAACUUGGUGCAAAAAUGAGGAAAAUUUUACAUUUUCUCAAUUAGGGUAUGGAACUUGGUUCCUCGAAUAACUUCUGGUACAGAGAUCUGAGGGCAUGGCCGUCCAAGAAGAAAAUGUAGCCAUUGGUGCCAUCUAUCGACCACAGGUUAAAGAUUGGCGAUCCGUUGGAUACCAACCGAGUUAUAAGCAAAACUUGGUGCAAAAAUGAGCCUUAUGAAAUUUUGAAAUUUUUAUAUUUUUUUGAUUUGUUUAUAAUUUUUCAUUCUUUUUUUUGUUUAAAACAUUAUUUGAGUGAAAAGAAACUUCUUGCAACCAAUUGGCAUUAAAAUAAAUCAAUUUAAUUUUUUUGCAAAAUUUCCCAAAAAAAUCGUAAGGGGUAAGCCUUAUGAAAUUUUCGAGUGGAAAUUUUUUUAGAAAUUUUUUUCUGAUUUUUUAUUCUUUUUUUAAAUUAAAGCAUUAUUUGAGUGAAAAGAAACUUAUUGCAACAAAUUCGCAAUAAAAUAUAUCAAAUUUAAAAAUUUUGCUAAAUUGCAGAAAAAUGAGGAAAAUUUUACAUUUUCUCAAACAGGGUAAGGAACUUGGUUCCUCGAAUAACUUCUGGCACAGAGAUCUGAGGGCAUGGCCGUCCAAGAAGAAAAUGUAGCCAUUGGUGCCAUCUAUCGACCACAGGUUAAAGAUUGGCGAUCUGUUGGAUACCGACCGAGUUAUAAGCAAAACUUGGUGCAAAAAUGAGCCUUAUGAAAUUUUGAAAUUUUUAUAUUUUUUUGAUUUUUAUAUAAUUUUUCAUUCGUUUUUUUGUUUAAAACAUUAUUUGAGUGAAAAGAAACUUCUUGCAACCAAUUGGCAUUAAAAUAAAUCAAUUUAAAUUUUUUUGCAAAAUUUCCCAAAAAAAUCGUAAGGGGUAAGCCUUAUGAAAUUUUCGAGUGGAAAAUUUUUUAGAAAUUUUUUUCUGAUUUUUUUUUCUUUUUUUAAAUUAAAGCAUUAUUUGAGUGAAAAAAACUUAUUGCAACAAAUUCGCAAUAAAAUAUAUCACAUUUAAAAAUUUUGCUGAAUUGCAGAAAAAUGAGGAAAAUUUUACAUUUUCUCAAACAGGGUAAGGAAUUUGGUUCCUCGAAUAACUUCUGGCACAGACAUCUGAGGGCAUGGCCGUCCAACAAGAAAAUGUAGCCAUUGGUGCCAUCUAUCGACCACAGGUUAAAGAUUGGCGAUCCGUUGGAUACCAACCGAGUUAUAGGCAAAACUUGGUGCAAAAAUGAGCUUUAUGAAAUUUUGAAAUUUUUAUAUUUUUUUGAUUUUUUUAUAAUUUUUCAUUCUUUUUUUUUGUUUAAAACAUUAUUUGAGUGAAAAGAAACUUCUUGCAACCAAUUGGCAUUAAAAUAAAUCAAUUUAAAUUUUUUUUGCAAAAUUUCCCAAAAAAAUCGUAAGGGGUAAGCCUUAUGAAAUUUUCGAGUGGAAAAUUUUUUAGAAAUUUUUUUCUGAUUUUUUAUUCUUUUUUUAAAUUAAAGCAUUAUUUGAGUGAAAAGAAACUUAUUGCAACAAAUUCGCAAUAAAAUAUAUCACAUUUAAAAAUUUUGCUGAAUUGCAGAAAAAUGAGGAAAAUUUUACAUUUUCUCAAACAGGGUAAGGAACUUGGUUCCUCGAAUAACUUCUGGCACAGAGAUCUGAAGGCAUGGCCGUCCAAGAAGAAAAUGUAGCCAUUGGUGCCAUCUAUAGACCACAGGUUAAAGAUUGGCGAUCCGUUGGAUACCGACCGAGUUAUAGGCAAAACUUGGUGCAAAAAUGAGGAAAAUUUUACAUUUUCUCAAACAGGGUAAGGAACUUGGUUCCUCGAAUAACUUCUAGCACAGAGAUCUGAGGGCAUGGCCGUCCAAGAAGAAAAUGUAGCCAUUGGUGCCAUCUAUAGACCACAGGUUAAAGAUUGGCGAUCCGUUGGAUACCAACCGAGUUAUAGGCAAAACUUGGUGCAAAAAUGAGCCUUAUGAAAUUUUGAAAUUUUUAUAUUUUUUUGAUUUUUUUAUAAUUUUUCAUUCUUUUGUUUGUUUAAAACAUUAUUUGAGUGAAAAGAAACUUCUUGCAACCAAUUGGCAUUAAAAUAAAUCAAUUUAAAUUUUUUUGCAAAAUUUCCCAAAAAAAUCUUAAGGGGUAAGCCUUAUGAAAUUUUCGAGUGGAAAAUUUUUUAGAAAUUUUUUUCUGAUUUUUUAUUCUUUUUUUAAAUUAAAGCAUUAUUUGAGUGAAAAGAAACUUAUUGCAACAAAUUCGCAAUAAAAUAUAUCACAUUUAAAAAUUUUGCUGAAUUGCAGAAAAAUGAGGAAAAUUUUACAUUUUCUCAAACAGGGUAAGGAACUUGGUUCCUCGAAUAACUUCUGGCACAGAGAUCUGAAGGCAUGGCCGUCCAAGAAGAAAAUGUAGCCAUUGGUGCCAUCUAUAGACCACAGGUUAAAGAUUGGCGAUCCGUUGGAUACCAACAGAGUUAUAGGCAAAACUUGGUGCAAAAAUGAGCCUUAUGAAAUUUAGAAAUUUUUAUAUUUUUUUGAUUUUUUUUAUAAUUUUUCAUUCUUUUUUUUUGUUUAAAACAUUAUUUGAGUGAAAAGAAACUUCUUGCAACCAAUUGGCAUUAAAAUAAAUCAAUUUAAAUUUUUUUGCAAAAUUUCCCAAAAAAACGUAAGGGGUAAGCCUUAUGAAAUUUUCGAGUGGAAAAUUUUUUAGAAAUUUUUUUCUGAUUUUUUAUUCUUUUUUUAAAUUAAAGCAUUAUUUGAGUGAAAAGAAACUUAUUGCAACAAAUUCGCAAUAAAAUAUAUCACAUUUAAAAAUUUUGCUGAAUUGCAGAAAAAUGAGGAAAAUUUUACAUUUUCUCAAACAGGGUAAGGAACUUGGUUCCUCGAAUAACUUCUGGCACAGAGAUCUGAAGGCAUGGCCGUCCACGAAGAAAAUGUAGCCAUUGGUGCCAUCUAUCGACCACAGGUUAAAGAUUGGCGAUCCGUUGGAUACCGACCGAGUUAUAGGCAAAACUUGGCGCAAAAAUGAGC